rnacentral:rRNA from 1 species
AUGCACCCUUUUCUCAAGCCCGAGCCCGGCUCGAAGCCCGAAAUGCACUCUUUUCUCAAGCCCGAGCCCGGCCCGAAGUCAAGCCCGACCCGAAUGUUGUUUUCUAGUGUUCGCACAUGUAAGCCCGGCCCCAAGCCCGAAAGCCCGGCCCGAAAUUCUGGAAAAGAGAAGCUCAAGCCCGACCUGAAGUACCUUCCGGGCUGCAAAAUGAGGCCCAAGCCCGACCCGAAUGUCAAGCCCGAAGCCCUUUUUUCGGGCCGGGUCAUCAGGUCGGGUUAUCCAUGCCCGGGUUUAGACCAGAGUAUGAGAGAGUCAAAUGUGGAGGACAUAGAAAAAUUGUUGGCAAUUGGAGCAACAAGAGGAUUUACCAGUAUGUUAGAUUCAGUUGAUUGCAUGCACCCGCAAUGGAAGAACUGCCCCAAAAGUUUGCGUGGGCAAUACCAAGGUCACGUCAUAGAAGUCACCAUCAUACUUGAAGCGGUGAUAUCACAUGACUUGUGGAUUUGA